CAUUCAUAAAGUGAUUCUCAUUCAUUAUUUUCUACUCUAUUACUUUGCCAACGCAUUAAAGUGGCUAAAAAGGGCUGAUUACCACAAAAUUGCCACAACAUAUUUUCCAAAUUCACAAGAAACGGAUAUCCUCAUGUGCUCUAUAUCUUCCUUAUCAACUAAACUCAUACGCACGCCAACACAACGCCCUGGCGGGGCGACGUAUGGGUAUUGUAUGGACCUGGUGGUGCACAUUUGUGAUAAGAAAAAACCAAUCAAACGAAAUUAAAUCGAAUACGCAAUAGAAUGAUUAAUUUCAUUGAACGCAGCUUGAAAGAAUUACUUUGCGCUCAGGCGGAAAAUUUAAAUUACAUUAAAGAAAGUGUCGUACAUGCGUGUGGUGUAAGUGAAAGGACACGCUUUCAACGAAGCAUAACACAGAAAGCUGUAUGAAAAGUAUAAAAGCGCAAAUUUCCGCUGACUUAGAACUUAGUGACUGAAUUGUCAGCUACUUGUGGUGAACAGAAAAUUAUAUUGUGGACUCUAAAUAUAUUCCAAAGCGCAAUUUCUGGUUGUCUCAAAGAAAGAAAUUUUAGUGGAGAGGAAAAGAGAAGAGUAGAAGAAAAAAAUGGGAUGACGAAAGUGGGCCAAAAAAGGGCUGGCAUGCCCAAAUGCUCAUCUCAUCACCUCUUAUUUUUGGCAUACCUAAUAUCUACUAAUUAAAUGAUUUUUUUACAUUGAUUUUAUGCAUAUAAUACUGGCGUAUUCGCACAGCCAAUAUCAGCCGAAACCAUCCAUCAACGCAUGCACUGGAAAUUUAUUGCAAACUGGACACUUACUAUGAAUUCUGCAUUUCUAAAGCAUCUGCACAAAUUUUAUACAAAAAAAAUUAUAAUGACUUAUUCCACAAAAAGGUUUUGUUUCCAAUCUUAAAUGUAUUUGUAUGUAUUUCUACAUAUCUACACUUUUAAAUUAAUUUAGCAAAAAUCGUAUGAAACGGAUAACUUUCGAGCGUUGUAAAUUGGACUACCCUACUAGAUGGAAAUGUGAAUCACAAUAAAUAAAUUUAGCAAGUAAGAUGAAAGUUGCACAUAUUGUAGCUAAAACAUCAUUAAAUCACGAUAUACUAUACUAAAAAUAAUACCCAUACUACAUAUACACAUAUAUUAGCCAACUACUACAACUUACUACUUGUUGCAAAAUAAAAAUUAAAAAAAAAAAAAUUUGGAAUUGAAGAAUGUGAGAAAAAUUUGAGGUUAUGCACUGACCAAAUGUGCAUGUAUAUCUAUGUAUGUAAAAAUCAAAAUACUGAAAAAUGGCAAAUCAAAAUAAAUCAUUGUGUGUGUAUUGAUUAAAAUUUAUUAUGCUCUAAUCAGUCCUUGCUCAUAAAUUAUAAACUAAAAUGAAAAUAUUUAAAGGCAUUAAAACAUGUUGCUGUUGUUUGGGAUUACAAAAAUUAAUUUCAAAAUUUAAUUGCAAAAAUCCAAUAAUUUGGCAUCAAAAUUCAAAGUUGAAAAUAUCUGUAAAUUAUGUAUUUGUUGUUAAUUGACUCUAUGUAAAUGCACCAAUACGGCGAUACAAGAAAUACAUACAUAUGCAUUACGCAAUUUGAGGAGAAAUGGAUGUUAUGAAAUAUAACAGCACAAAAGAAAGAUGAAUAUGUAUAUACAUAAAAAUACUUUAACGUUACAAUAUGCUACCUACUUAUAAAUGUGUGCUUUUAGUUAAAAAUAUAUGUGACUUACGUGUUGGGUGAAGUGAAA